rnacentral:rRNA from 1 species
AUACGGAGGGGGUGAGCGUUGUUCGGAAUUACUGGGCGUAAAGCGCACGUAGGCGGAUUGGAAAGUUGGGGGUGAAAUCCCAGGGCUCAACCCUGGAACUGCCUCCAAAACUAACAGUCUAGAGUACGAGAGAGGUGAGUGGAAUUCCAAGUGUAGAGGUGAAAUUCGUAGAUAUUUGGAGGAACACCAGUGGCGAAGGCGGCUCACUGGCUCGAUACUGACGCUGAGGUGCGAAAGCGUGGGGAGCAAACAGGAUUAGAUACCCCUGUAGUCC